AGGCGGGGAAACCGAGGCCCAGAAGCAAGUGCCCGAGGCGCGCCCUCCCCCCGCCCCGGCCCGGACCUCACCGGCAGGACCGCGGAAAAAAACGCGGGGAUAUUGUGGAGAACUCAAUAUACUUUGCGAAAUUUUCAAGCUAAAGGAAAGGUCUCAUUUUUUUGGCCUUGGCGUGGCCUGGAAUCCUGGAAGACCCAACUGUCUGUCCUAGGCAAGCAAACCACAGCGAGGCGCAGGGAAAACAGCAAAGAAGGACACAGCGAUGCCUCACUGAGAACUCGGAGCUGCCCUCCGGACCGAGGCUCCCCUCUACCCAGCCCAGCCUCCACCCCCAGCCCAGCCUCGGGACCCGGGGCUCUGUCACCCAGAACACAGCUGGCUGACUGUGCCCUCUCAGGGACCCUGCUCUCAGGAGCGGGCCUUCCCCAAGCUAAGCCCAGAACAAGCAUCCCAACGCCGGCUCACCCACCAAGGGGAGUCCAUGGGAACAGGACCCAGACCCUCAGACCCAGGGAGGGGCUGGGGGUGGGCUUCCAGGCACCCUUCCAUCCGUCGAUUUAACCAGCCUUCAUCGGCUCAGCCUAAAGAUUAGGAGACGCGCUCCUCAGAGCUUCCAGCCUGCGGGGUAGUCAGACCCAGACACCAAUAAGGAUGGUACCACCAGAUAAGGGACCGAGGAGCCCUGGAGAGACAGGAUAGCAUAGCCACUAAGAGGUCAGACUCUGAGCCAAUAGGGGUUCAAUAUGGAUGCGGCCAUGCACCUGCGAUGUGCCCUCGGGCGAGUUCCUCAACCUCCAUGUGCCUUUGUUUCCUCAUCUUUCCAAUGACAGAGUAACAGCUGCUUGUCAGGAUUCAACAGGGGUGUGUAACUCACUCAGGCUGGUGCCUGUUAGAGCAAAUGCUGUAUGAGUGAUCGCUCUUAGUAACCGAGAAAGUUACCAUUGUGGUGGCGUCACAAUUUGGGGGGGCGGGGGCAGGCAUGAGGGAGGAGAGUGUUCCAGAAGAGGGGACGGCAAAGCAAAGAGAAGCAGAGGUAAGAAGGAAGGAUGGUAAGACAGGUCUGGGGUGUGGAGAGCGGCCCCCUUAGCGAGACCCAGCAAAGUCCUGAGAGCCUGAUCUGGCCUGACUCAGACCCGGGGCUCAAUCCCCU
rnacentral:lncRNA from 1 species